GCGUUGGGGACAGGGGUGCCGGGCGGCUCUGUCCGUGGGGCACUGGGGACAGGGGCGCUGGGCAGCUCCAUUCGUGGGCGUUGGGGAUGGGGCACUAUAGAUCCUGGAGAGAUCAAAUGAAAAGUAGCUUUUCCAAAUGAAAUCUGUGUUAUAAAGGUUUUAUUUUUCUACAGCUGUCGUGGGCGGAUUGGAUCAGUGGCGUCCCCAGAUGGAUCUGCCCAGCUCAACCCUCCCUUGGCUCCCUGGCAGGAUGGUGGGAAGUCGCUUGGAGCCCAAGGUGGUUUGUCCGGGGCCAUGCAGCAAAGCCAGCAACAGAGCCGCAGCCUCACCCUGGAAAGCGACAGUAACUCCACUGCCAUGGCACGAGUGGCAUCGGGAGGAGACGGUGCGAGACUCCGGCCAGGCCUGUAUGUCUCCAGGUCCCUAUGCUCCAGCUGUGCCCCGCUUACAUUCUGCACAGCGCCUCGCUUCAGAGAUGCACCCGGGACUCCUGCAGGAUGGCACUCCGCUCCUGUGACUCGUUACUUCGUAGAAAGACCCUUUGACAGCACUGGGGCAGGACCUGGUACUCUCAGGGCCCCAAGUAAAUCUAUUUCUGGAGAGCUGGUGAAAAGAAUAGAAGCAGGUGACCCCCGUGGGAAUCAACCCGAGUGCCCGAUUCACCCGUCACCAGCAUCCGUGUAACUCCAUCAGCAGACUCCCUCCUGAUUUACACCAGUGAAGGUGAGAGGAGAAGCAGGCCCCUGGUCUACAGAGGCCAGGUAAGUCUACAAUUCCAUUUACUAGCCUUGUUCUGCAGGUGGCACCUGACCCGAAACUUGCCAGCCAGAACCACCUUUCAUUGGUCUGUCCCACAUCAUGUGAUCCGGGUUUAACUCUGAGUCACGGUCCAGUGUCAGGGUGUGAUGAUACUGCACAAUGCUACUGCAAGAGGACAUCACGAGACUAGGUCUCCGUUCAUUGAUCUGACCCGUCCGAGAGAGAAUCCAAGCAUUGACGUGGCAUUAUAGCCCCGGCAGUGUGGCUGAAUGCCAAUGGAUUCUCUUGAUCCUUUCGUCUUUAAAGGGUGAACUGUGUGUUCUGAACUGUCUUUAUCCAAACCCAAGCUCUGUGCAUGCCAGGAACAUGGAUGUGUGCCAGCAUGGGAGGUAGAGACGGAGCUCACUAUGACACUACCCUCCUGAGCCAGACUUGACGAGGUCCCUCAAAGCCCUCACGUGUCUUCCCAUCUCCUUACUUGGUGAUCCAUCUCUUGUUCUCCAUCUGCCAUCCCCUCUUUACGUAACACGGGGAAUCCAUUGCCUCAUUAUCUUCUUCACAGGCCUGCGUGUUAGUCUAGUCUCUUUGUUUUUGAUUGGUGUCUUCUUUCCCUGUACAAUACCAACAUACAUCCUCCCAUACCUCCCUGUCCAAACUUUGGAGCCGCAUAAUUUGCCACGGGUGGUUCUGCCUUUUCAGAAGAACCU
rnacentral:lncRNA from 1 species